AUUGAACGCUGGCGGCAGGCCCAACACAUGCAAGUCGAACGGUAACAGGAAACAGCUUGCUGUUUCGCUGACGAGUGGCGGACGGGUGAGUAAUGUCUGGGAAACUGCCUGAUGGAGGGGGAUAACUACUGGAAACGGUAGCUAAUACCGCAUAACGUCGCAAGACCAAAGAGGGGGACCCUCGGGCCUCUUGCCAUCGGAUGUGCCCAGAUGGGAUUAGCUUGUUGGUGGGGUAACGGCUCACCAAGGCGACGAUCCCUAGCUGGUCUGAGAGGAUGACCAGCCACACUGGAACUGAGACACGGUCCAGACUCCUACGGGAGGCAGCAGUGGGGAAUAUUGCACAAUGGGCGCAAGCCUGAUGCAGCCAUGCCGCGUGUAUGAAGAAGGCCUUCGGGUUGUAAAGUACUUUCAGCGGGGAGGAAGGGAGUAAAGUUAAUACCUUUGCUCAUUGACGUUACCCGCAGAAGAAGCACCGGCUAACUCCGUGCCAGCAGCCGCGGUAAUACGGAGGGUGCAAGCGUUAAUCGGAAUUACUGGGCGUAAAGCGCACGCAGGCGGUUUGUUAAGUCAGAUGUGAAAUCCCCGGGCUCAACCUGGGAACUGCAUCUGAUACUGGCAAGCUUGAGUCUCGUAGAGGGGGGUAGAAUUCCAGGUGUAGCGGUGAAAUGCGUAGAGAUCUGGAGGAAUACCGGUGGCGAAGGCGGCCCCCUGGACGAAGACUGACGCUCAGGUGCGAAAGCGUGGGGAGCAAACAGGAUUAGAUACCCUGGUAGUCCACGCCGUAAACGAUGUCGACUUGGAGGUUGUGCCCUUGAGGCGUGGCUUCCGGAGCUAACGCGUUAAGUCGACCGCCUGGGGAGUACGGCCGCAAGGUUAAAACUCAAAUGAAUUGACGGGGGCCCGCACAAGCGGUGGAGCAUGUGGUUUAAUUCGAUGCAACGCGAAGAACCUUACCUGGUCUUGACAUCCACGGAAGUUUUCAGAGAUGAGAAUGUGCCUUCGGGAACCGUGAGACAGGUGCUGCAUGGCUGUCGUCAGCUCGUGUUGUGAAAUGUUGGGUUAAGUCCCGCAACGAGCGCAACCCUUAUCCUUUGUUGCCAGCGGUCCGGCCGGGAACUCAAAGGAGACUGCCAGUGAUAAACUGGAGGAAGGUGGGGAUGACGUCAAGUCAUCAUGGCCCUUACGACCAGGGCUACACACGUGCUACAAUGGCGCAUACAAAGAGAAGCGACCUCGCGAGAGCAAGCGGACCUCAUAAAGUGCGUCGUAGUCCGGAUUGGAGUCUGCAACUCGACUCCAUGAAGUCGGAAUCGCUAGUAAUCGUGGAUCAGAAUGCCACGGUGAAUACGUUCCCGGGCCU
rnacentral:rRNA from 1 species